rnacentral:rRNA from 1 species
GCUCAGAACGAACGCUGGCGGCGGGCUUAACACAUGCAAGUCGAACGAGAAAGGUUCUUCGGAACUGAGUAAAGUGGCGCACGGGUGAGUAACGCGUAGGCAACCUGCCCCUAGAUUUGGGAUAACCUCGGGAAACCGAAGCUAAUACCGAAUAACAUCUUAGAGUCGCACGACUCAGAGAUCAAAACUCCGGUGUCUAGGGAUGGGCCUGCGUAAGAUUAGGUAGUUGGUGAGGUAACAGCUCACCAAGCCGACGAUCUUUAGCUGGUCUGAGAGGAUGAUCAGCCACACUGGCACUGAGACACGGGCCAGACUCCUACGGGAGGCAGCAGUGAGGAAUAUUGCGCAAUGGGGGAAACCCUGACGCAGCCACGCCGCGUGGUGGAUGACACCCCUAUGGGGCGUAAACACCUUUUAUGAGAGAAGAAGUCCCUAUUCGUUAGGGUUUGACGGUACCUCAUGAAUAAGCACCGGCUAACUCCGUGCCAGCAGCCGCGGUAAUACGGAGGGUGCAAGCGUUGUCCGGAAUCACUGGGUGUAAAGGGUGUGUAGGCGGAGCUGUAAGUCAGAGGUGAAAUCCUACGGCUCAACCGUAGAACUGCCUUUGAUACUGCAGCCCUUGAAUAUCGGAGAGGUUACUAGAAUUCGUGGUGUAGCGGUGAAAUGCGUANAUAUCACGAGGAAUACCAGAGGCGUAGGCGGGUAACUGGACGAUU